rnacentral:rRNA from 1 species
CCUCAGUAACGGCGAGUGAAGCGGCANCAGCUCAAAUUUGAAAUCUGNUCCUUUCAGGGCCCGAGUUGUAAUUUGUAGAGGAUGUUUCGGGUGCGGCGCGGGUCUAAGUCCUUUGGAACAGGGCGUCAUAGAGGGUGAGAAUCCCGUAUGUGACCCGUGAUCAAGCCCAUGUGAAACCCCUUCGACGAGUCGAGUUGUUUGGGAAUGCGGCUCAAAAUGGGUGGUAAAUUUCAUCUAAAGCUAAAUACUGGCCAGAGACCGAUAGCGCACAAGUAGAGUGAUCGAAAGAUGAAAAGCACUUUGGAAAGAGAGUCAAAAAGUACGUGAAAUUGUUGAAAGGGAAGCGCUUGCAACCAGACCUGUCCGCAGGCGAUCAACUCCCGUUCUCGGGGGUGCACUCGUCUGUGAUCAGGCCAGCAUCGGUUCGGGCGGUCGGAUAAAGGCCUUGGGAAUGUAGCUCCUUCCGGGGAGUGUUAUAGCCCUCGGUGCAAUGCGGCCAGCCCGGACCGAGGACCGCGCCUUCGGGCUAGGAUGCUGGCGUAAUGGUUGUAAGCGACC